rnacentral:rRNA from 1 species
CCUACGGGUGGCAGCAGUGAGGAAUAUUGGUCAAUGGACGAGAGUCUGAACCAGCCAAGUAGCGUGAAGGAUGACUGCCCUAUGGGUUGUAAACUUCUUUUAUAUGGGAAUAAAAUGUUCCACGUGUGGGAUUUUGUAUGUACCAUAUGAAUAAGGAUCGGCUAACUCCGUGCCAGCAGCCGCGGUAAUACGGAGGAUCCGAGCGUUAUCCGGAUUUAUUGGGUUUAAAGGGAGCGUAGGUGGUUUGUUAAGUCAGUUGUGAAAGUUUGCGGCUCAACCGUAAAAUUGCAGUUGAAACUGGCAGUCUUGAGUACAGUAGAGGUGGGCGGAAUGCGUGGUGUAGCGGUGAAAUGCUUAGAUAUCACGAAGAACUCCGAGUGCGAAGGCAGUUCACUGGACUGCAACUGACACUGAGGCUCGAAAGUGUGGGUAUCAAACAGGAUUAGAUACCCCAGUAGUC